rnacentral:rRNA from 1 species
UACGUAGGGCGCGAGCGUUGUCCGGAUUCAUUGGGCGUAAAGAGCUCGUAGGCGGCCUGCCGCGUCUGCCGUGAAAGCCCACGGCUCAACCGUGGGUCUGCGGCGGAUACGGGCGGGCUUGAGGCUGGUAGGGGCAAGCGGAAUUCCUGGUGUAGCGGUGAAAUGCGCAGAUAUCAGGAGGAACACCGGUGGCGAAGGCGGCUUGCUGGGCCAGUCCUGACGCUGAGGAGCGAAAGCGUGGGGAGCGAAC